rnacentral:rRNA from 1 species
ACGACUCUCGGCAACGGAUAUCUCAGCUCUCGCAUCGAUGAAGAACGUAGCGAGAUGCGAUACUUGGUGUGAAUUGCAGAAUCCCGUGAACCAUCGAGUCUUUGAACGCAAGUUGCGCCCCAAGCCUUCAGGCCGAGGGCACGUCUGCCUGGGUGUCACAAAUCGUCGUCCCCAUCCUUUGCGGAUAA